rnacentral:tmRNA from 1 species
GGGCCUGGAUUUGGUUUUGACAGCAAGGAUAAUGGUUUGGUAAGCAUGCAGGCUAAGGUAACACAAGCCUUGAACAGGGUUACAAAACAAUAAUUGGCGAAAAUAACUACGCUCUUGCCGCUUAAUCGAAGCACAGUAGAUUGAAGCUAAUCGCUGCAAAGUGCAGCGAGCGGGACAUCUCUCCGAAACCUUUUCUCCGUGGUUGAGGAUUAAGAGGUGCAGCAAAACGGGGAUAGUUUGAAGCAUUCUUCCGACUUCAAGCGAAAUUUUAGGAAGAUAAGGAACAGGCGGGACGUUUGCCUCUUAGGCUGUUCUCGAAAAUAGAUGGCAAAAUAAGCAUGUAGAAAGCCAAGUUGUUACUUGUUUGGACCAGAGUUCGAAUCUCUGCAGGUCCACAA